AAGAACCCCGGGAGGGGAGUGAAAGAGAACCUGAAACCCUGCACUUACAAGCUGUGGGAGCACAUUACUUGUGUGACCGCGUACUUUUUGUAGAACGGGCCAACGAGUUACGUUAAGUAGCAAGGUUAAGCACUUAAGGUGUGGAGCCGUAGCGAAAGCGAGUCUUAAAUGGGCGAUUAAGUUACUUGGCGUAGACCCGAAACCGGGCGACCUAUCCAUGAGCAGGUUGAAGCGAAAGUAAAAUUUCGUGGAGGACCGAACCCACGAGCGUUGAAAAGCUCGGGGAUGACUUGUGGAUAGCGGUGAAAUUCCAAUCGAGCCCGGAGAUAGCUGGUUCUCCCCGAAAUAGCUUUAGGGCUAGCCUCAAGCGUAGAGAAACGGAGGUAGAGCACUGAAUGUCCUAGGGGGUAUUGCACUUACCGAAGACUAUCAAACUCCGAAUGCCGUUUUCUUUUACUUGGGAGUCAGACUGUGGGUGAUAAGAUUCAUAGUCAAAAGGGCAACAGCCCAGAUCGUCAGCUAAGGUCCCUAAAUGUACGUUAAGUGGUAAAGGAUGUGGGAUUGCACAGACAACCAGGAUGUUGGCUUAGAAGCAGCCACUCAUUUAAAGAGUGCGUAAUAGCUCACUGGUCGAGUGAUCCUGCGCCGAAAAUUUCCGGGGCUAAAACGUACUACCGAAGCUACGGCAUCAUUUAUGAUGGGUAGGGGAGCUUCGUAUGCAGGCUGAAGCAUGACCGUAAGGACAUGUGGACAGUAUACGAGUGAGAAUGUUGGCAUGAGUAGCGAGACGUGGGUGAGAAUCCCACGGGCCGUAAACCCAAGGUUUCCAGGGGAAGGUUCGUCCGCCCUGGGUUAGUCGGGACCUAAGCCGAGGCCGAAAGGCGUAGGUGAUGGACAACAGGUUGAUAUUCCUGUACCGCCAAUAAGCGUUUGAGAGAUGGAGUGACACAGUAGGAUAAGCUAACCGUACUGUUGGUUAUGUACGGCUAAGCAUUGAGGCAGUCUAAAUAGGCAAAUCCGUUUAGACAAUGCUAGGAUGUGAUGGGGAAGCCCUUCGGGGCGAAGUAGCUGAUUUCACACUGUCAAGAAAAGCUUCUAUCGAGUUUAAAGGCGCCCGUACCGUAAACCGACACAGGUGGGUGAGGAGAGUAUCCUAAGGCCAGCGAGAGAACUAUUGUUAAGGAACUCGGCAAAAUGACCCCGUAACUUAGGGAGAAGGGGUGCCUGUCUAUGACAGGCCGCAGAGAAUAGGCCCAAGCGACUGUUUACCAAAAACACAGGUUUCUGCUAAGUCGCAAGACGAUGUAUAGGAGCUGACGCCUGCCCGGUGCUGGAAGGUUAAGGGGAUCUGUUAGAGCAAUCGAAGCAGUGAACUUAAGCCCCAGUAAACGGCGGCCGUAACUAUAACGGUCCUAAGGUAGCGAAAUUCCUUGUCGGGUAAGUUCCGACCCGCACGAAAGGCGUAACGAUUUGGGCACUGUCUCAACAAUAGACUCGGUGAAAUUGUAAUCCCGGUGAAGAUGCCGGGUACCUGCGACAGGACGGAAAGACCCCAUGGAGCUUUACUGUAGCUUGACGUUGGGUCUUGGUACUACAUGUACAGGAUAGGUGGGAGACUAUGAAGCAUGGACGCCAGUCUGUGUGGAGUCAUCCUUGGGAUACCACCCUUGUAGUACUGGGAUCCUAACCAUAGGCCUUGAAUCAGGUCUUGGAACACCGUCAGGUGGGCAGUUUGACUGGGGCGGUCGCCUCCUAAAAAGUAACGGAGGCGCUCAAAGGUUUCCUCAGCACGGUCGGAAAUCGUGCGAAGAGUGUAAAGGCAAAAGGAAGCUUGAUUGCAAGACAUACAGGUCGAGCAAGGACGAAAGUCGGACUUAGUGAUCCGGUGGUACCGCAUGGAAGGGCCAUCGCUCAACGGAUAAAAGCUACCCUGGGGAUAACAGGCUUAUCUCCCCCAAGAGUCCACAUCGACGGGGAGGUUUGGCACCUCGAUGUCGGCUCAUCACAUCCUGGGGCUGUAGUAGGUCCCAAGGGUUGGGCUGUUCGCCCAUUAAAGUGGUACGCGAGCUGGGUUCAGAACGUCGUGAGACAGUUCGGUCCCUAUCCGUCGCAGGCGUAGGAAAUUUGAGAAGACCUGUCCUUAGUACGAGAGGACCGGGAUGGACGUACCUCUGGUGUACCAGUUGUUCUGCCAAGGGCAUGGCUGGGUAGCUAUGUACGGAAUGGAUAAGCGCUGAAAGCAUCUAAGCGCGAAGCCAACUUCAAGAUAAGAUUUCCCACCGUAAGGGUAAGACCCCAGGAAGACUACCUGGUUGA
rnacentral:rRNA from 1 species